GAUGAACGCUGGCGGCGUGCCUAAUACAUGCAAGUCGAGCGAACAGACGAGGAGCUUGCUCCUCUGACGUUAGCGGCGGACGGGUGAGUAACACGUGGAUAACCUACCUAUAAGACUGGGAUAACUUCGGGAAACCGGAGCUAAUACCGGAUAAUAUAUUGAACCGCAUGGUUCAAUAGUGAAAGACGGUUUUGCUGUCACUUAUAGAUGGAUCCGCGCUGUAUUAGUUAGUUGGUAAGGUAACGGCUUACCAAGGCAACGAUGCGUAGCCGACCUGAGCGGGUGGUCGGCCACACUGGAACUGAAACGCGGUCCAGGCUCCUACGGAAGGCAGAGGUAGCGAAUCGUGCGCAAUGGGCGGAAGCCUGACGGAGCAACGCCGGGUGAGUGAUGAAGGGCUUCGGAUCGUAAAACUCUGUUAUGAGGGAAAAACAAAUGUGGAAGUAACUAUGCACGUCUUGACGGUACCUAAACAGAAAGCAACGGCUAACUACGUG
rnacentral:rRNA from 1 species